rnacentral:rRNA from 1 species
GACGAACCGUGCAAACGUUAUUCGGAAUCACUGGGCAUAAAGGGCGCGUAGGCGGCUUUCUAAGUCAGGGGUGAAAUCCGGCAGCUCAACUGUCGCAGUGCCUUUGAUACUGGAAAGCUCGAGGGAUGUAGGGGUCUGUGGAACUUCCGGUGGAGCGGUGAAAUGCGUUGAUAUCGGAAGGAACGCCGGUGGCGAAAGCGACGGACUGGACAUCUUCUGACGCUGAGGCGCGAAAGCCAGGGGAGCAAACGGG